GGAUACUUCGUUUGUAAUGGUAUCAAAACUGACUUGAAAUUAGUUCAAAUGGGUUCGAUUCCCAUAAAGUCCA
rnacentral:tRNA from 1 species